UCCCCAAUGGUCCAGUGGCUAGGAUAUCGGACUUUCACUCCGGUGGCCCGGGUUCGAUUCCCGGUUGGGGAA